GUGAGUCAUCGAAUCUUUGAACGCACAUUGCGCCCUUUGGUAUUCCUUAGGGCAUGCCUGUUCGAGCGUCAUUUAAACCCCUCAAGCUCUGCUUGAUGUUGGGCGUUUGUCCCGCCCUGUCGCGUGGACUCGCCUUAAAAUCAUUGGCGGCCCGCGUAUUGGCUCAGAGCGCAGCAGAAUCGCGUCUCGGGACCCAGUGCGCGGGCGUCCAGCAAGGAAAACUCCAAUUUUGACCUCGGAUCAGGUAGGGAUACCCGCUGAACUUAAGCAUAUCAAUAAGCGGAGGA
rnacentral:misc_RNA from 1 species